rnacentral:rRNA from 1 species
AAAAAUAGCGAGCAAGUAGCAUUUUAUAGAUAAGUAUCUGUUUUAGUAAAAUUUACAUUAAAUAGCUUAUAUGUUUUUUCCUUAGUUAAUGGAUUUAGAUCCAUUAGUGAUAUAUGAAUAGUUCUAUAUCAAAAAAAAAAUAAAAGUUGAGUUUGGUGAUGGCUCUGAUUGAAUGCUGUCCAAGUGCUUGACACAUGCUAAUCGUACGUUUUAAUUGCUAUUCCUUUGGGAAGGCGCAAGCUCGUAAGCAAUUAAAAAGUGGUGUACAGGUGAGUAUAAUGAUAUUCUUCGCCGGCCUUAAAGUGGAGGUAAAUCCUUCAUAAUAAAUAAAGGAAACAGGAUGAGAACUUGGCAAAUAAAGCUAGGCUUCUCAUCGUUUCUGCUUUAAGAGGAUAAUAAAUAUCUUCGAGAUAGGUAGUAGUUAAGGUGAUGACUUAACUAGCCUUAAACUCUCGUAGUCGAAUCUGAAAGGUUGAUCGACCACAUUGGGUCUGAAAAAACCCCAAUGCAAGUUAGUACAGCAGUGAGGAAUCUUGGUCAAUGGCCUAACGGCUGAACUGGCAACUUGGAGAAGUGGCAAGUCUUCCAGUAUGGGGAGCAAAACAGCUAUGGGUCAAGUCCGAUAUCUUUAGGAGAAGUCUUAUUGUGAGGGCGAGUUUUAUAACACCAUAGGACUGGCCGUCCCAUAUGAAAAGAUUAUAUUAGAAUUGAAUGAAGCUUUGUUUAUAUAUUGAUAAUGACAGUAUAUAUAUCGUGUCUUGACUAAUUGCGUGCCAGCAGUCGCGGUAAUACGUAAGAGACUAGUGUUAUUCAUCUUAAUUAGGUUUAAAGGGUACCCAGACGGUCAAUAUAGCUUAUAAAAUGUUAGUACUUGACUAGAGUUUUAUGUAAGAGGGCAGUACUUGAGGAGGAGAGAUGAAAUUUCGUGAUACCAAAGGGACUCUGUAAAGGCGAAGGCAGCCCUCUAUGUAAAAACUGACGUUGAAGGACGAAGGCACAGAGAACAAACAGGAUUAGAUACCCAAGUAGUCUUUGCAGUAAAUGAUGAAUGCCAUAGGUUAGAUGGGUGGGUUAGUCGUAGUUGAGUUAGUUUAGCAAACUAAUGGAUUCAGACUAGUCCACCAUAUAUUUGGUCUAUAAAUGAAAGUGUAAGCAUUUCACCUCAAGAGUAAUGUGGCAACGCAGGAACUGAAAUCACUAGACCGUUUCUGACACCAGUAGUGAAGUAUGUUGUUUAAUUCGAUGAUCCACGAAAAACCUUACCACAAUUUGAAUAAUUUUAUUACAGGAGUUGCACGGCUGUUUCCAGUUAAUGUUGUGAAACUGUGGUUUCCAUGAAAUUAACGUAAUCCCUGGCUUUAUUUUUUUUUUUAUUUACGAUAAAGCAUUCAGUCCUGGAAAUUUGGAAAGAUAAAGGGGACAAAGACAAGUCAUCAUGGCCUUGAUAUUGUGGGCUAUAGACGUGCCACAUAUUCCUAAACAAAGAGAUGCAAAAAUGUGAAUUUAAGCUAAUCUCAAAAAAUAGGAUAUAAAUUUUAAGGAUUGUAGUCUGAAAUUCGACUACAUGAAUAAGUAAUUACUAGUAAUCGUGAAUCACCAUGUCACGGUGAAUAGACCUUGGAUUGGUACUAACCACUCGUCACAUGCUGAAAGGGGCAUGCGCAAUAAGUUUGCUUUCUUAGUAACAAGUAAAAAAAACAAAUAGGUUUUAUAUAUUCUUUUAUUGGGAAUCUUCGUAUGCGUGGCUCUAAUUAGUGUUAAGUCGAAAUACGGUUCGCGUAGUGGAAGUUGCGCGGGAUUAAUUAACAUUAACCAUAAAAAUAUAUAAUAUA